CCUACGGGAGGCAGCAGUGAGGAAUAUUGGUCAAUGGUCGGGAGACUGAACCAGCCAAGCCGCGUGAGGGAUGAAGGUACAGAGUAUCGUAAACCUCUUUUGUCAGGGAACAAAGGCGGGGACGUGUCCCCGGAUGAGUGUACCUGAAGAAAAAGCAUCGGCUAACUCCGUGCCAGCAGCCGCGGUAAUACGGAGGAUGCGAGCGUUAUCCGGAUUUAUUGGGUUUAAAGGGUGCGCAGGCGGUCUGUUAAGUCAGCGGUGAAAGCCCGGGGCUCAACCCCCGCCCCGCCGUUGAAACUGGCAGUCUCGAGUUGGAGAGAAGUAUGCGGAAUGCGCGGUGUAGCGGUGAAAUGCAUAGAUAUCGCGCAGAACUCCGAUUGCGAAGGCAGCAUGCCGGCUCCACACUGACGCUGAGGCACGAAAGCGUGGGUAUCGAACAGGAUUAGAUACCCCGGUAGUC
rnacentral:rRNA from 1 species